UUGUGGGGCCCGGUGUUGGUAUUGUUGAAGUUAGUAGUUAUAUAAACUAUAUCUGCAGAAACCAUAAUAAGUAACGUAAGGCGCUAAACUGAGUGAUCACAUCUAAAAAGGACAUUGUUAGACUUGUUAAACAUGUAAAUGUUUAAGUGGCGUCAUAUUGCCAAUGGGAAAUAUUCUCAACGCUGUCUCUAUGAAACACAGCUAAAUGUAGAUAAAACGAUGCAAGGAGAAGAUCGUUUAAUUGAAGAUUAUAAUGUUGUUUUAAUGCACCUGCCCAAAGAUAGAAAAGCUUUCAUUCAAUGUAAAAUACCACUUAAAUGUUUAUUAUGGCCGAUUUGAAUGCCUCAUCCCUCAAAAUAAUAAGACCAUGUAUCUAGUUUAUAUUUAAGUGACCCCUGUCUUCUGAAUUAACUGAUAUAGGCCUACACGUGCAAUAUUAGACCCCUGCCUGUAUCUGGACUCUCUUGUUGUUACCAAGUUACCUUGUCUGUCUUAUCAUGUUGUUGGUCGGCAUUUGUUGUAAUAUCACUAUCAUUGGUUCCAUUCAAAUAGUGUUGAGCUGCCCUUUUUCUGACGCAAAAAUACAAACUAGAUGGUGUAUGAGUACGCGCAUACAGCGUCUAUGCUCCGCGAUACUGCUUCACAAUGGCGCCCCCUAUCUUUAUUGACAAGCUAUUAUAAUCAUUUGAAACAUCGAUGCUCAGUUUUUGACAGCUGCUGAAGGACCCCUGGUCGGCGCCUGCGCACUAAGCGCCCGUAUUUAGAUGUCAACUACACCACAGGUAACGGGCAAACAUUAGCAACUCCGCUAACGUAUUUAGGCUCUCCCACCAAAAGUAAUGAGGUAGAUCGCUUCACGUUCGCAUUAACAGUUACGCUGACUUCAAUUGACUGGUGUUGUCACUUUGGAAAUGGACCAGGAAUUUGAAGACAUGGAUUCCGAUGGCCGGUGGCAGAACCUAUACAUAGAAAUCAGGAAUCAGUCCCAUGAGUGCCCCUUCAAAAUCGCUAAAUAUCCGGAAAAUCGGUAUCGAAACAGAUACAGAGACGUCAACCCAUUUGACCACAGUCGGGUAAAACUUGGGAGCACGGAGAAUGACUACAUCAAUGCCAGUUUAGUGGUGAUGGAAGAAGCCCAGAGACGUUACAUAUUGACUCAGGGCCCCCUAAAGAACACCUGCAGCCACUUCUGGAUGAUGAUCUGGGAACAGCGGACCAAGGCUAUCAUCAUGCUGAACAGAGUAAUGGAGAAAGGAGCGGAGAAGUGUGCCCAGUACUGGCCCACGGCCACGGAGCAAGACAUGGCCUUCCGAGACACGGGCUUCCUGGUCACCUUGUUGUCCGAGGACGUAAAAUCCUACUACACGACCCGAGUGCUGCAGCUCCAGAAUGUACACACCGGGGAGAAGAGGGAGAUCUACCACUUCCACUACACCACGUGGCCGGACUUCGGGGUUCCCGAUUCCCCCGCCUCCUUCCUAAACUUCCUGUUCAAGGUUCGGGAGUCGACCUCGCUCGGCGCGGACCACGGGCCUGCCGUGGUGCACUGCAGCGCGGGGAUCGGGCGAUCAGGGACGUUUUCAUUGGUCGACACGUGUCUGGUGCUGAUGGACAAGAGGAAGGACCCGUCGUCGGUGGACAUCAAGAGCAUCCUGCUGGACAUGAGGAAGUACCGCAUGGGCCUGAUCCAGACGCCCGACCAGCUGCGCUUCUCCUACCUGGCGGUCCUGGAGGGGGCCAAGUACAUCAUGGGGGACUCCUCUGUCCAGAAGCGGUGGCGAGAGCUGUCCAAGGAGGACCAGGCCCCGGCGCCCGACUCCCCGCCCCCGCCGCAGCCCCAGGACGCCGGCCGGGGCCCGCGGCUCAACGGCAACCUGCGGGCCCCGCCCGAGGAGCCCGAGGACGGGGGGGCGGACGAGACCCCCGCGGGGACCCCCUGCAAGGAGGCGGACGUGGACAGCAGCAGCACACCGAAGAGACGCAGAGAGGACUCCCUCUCCAAGUCGCCGACGGCCCGCACGCCCCAGCAGCAGCAGCAGCCGCAGCAGAGCAUACCCAGGACAAACGAAUCAGAGAAGAAGAGGAAGAGUCUGGGCUGCAUUUGCUGCACAUGACAACGACUGAGCCGUCCAGUGGGGCGCACUCUAACGCCCGGCCCCUCUGGGACGGCUGCAAACAUGAAGAAGAAGAGCGGGAGGCUGGUGAUGACGGAGUGGUUAAAACAGGAGGGAGGAAGGUUACCAGCGGCUUUUAGAAAGAAACCGCCUCCUUCAGAACAUAGCAAGAACCAGUGACACCUAGCCGCCUCCCAUCUGCAGCCACCCCACCUCGCCUCUCCGCUGGCUGCAACGUGCACUUCGGCAGGGACCUCCGUCUUAGACCCAAACCCCCGCAGUCCUUCUCUCCUCCCACAGCCCCAAAUCUGUUUUUUCACACAACUUCCAUCUUGCUCGAACUCUGCCUUCUUUGGAACCCACCACUCCCUACCCCUCUCCCCCCCAAUCCCUCCCCAUGCUGAGCUUCAUGUCCAGUUUCUGACCUCCUCCUUCUUCUCUUUCUCAUCAAAAAAUAGUCUUCCCCCGCCAUUGUUGUCCAGCAUUCCCACACAUCACCAUCCCCUCUGCGUCACUCCUGCUUCGUCAUCUCCGCCCCCCCCCCCCCCAAAUGACCCCCGCGGUCGCUCCACUCCCCUCCCUCCCCUGGACACACUGCUGUUUACACCAAACACUUCGACAUUCUCUUCAAGAAAGCAUGUUCAUUUCAUAUUGUUUCUCCUUCGUCCAAAGGCGAACCACACCAGCUGUCCCAAAUCUCCCCCACCCUCAUCCCUCAUCCCCACCCCCUCCCAGCACUGCUUGUGGAACACGGCCACAUGAAGUGUCAUGUUAUCAUUUAAUAUUUUGCUGGGGCUUUUUGUUUUGCAUCUACCAAAUUGACUCUUUUUAAGUUGGCGGUCAAGGAUUCGCCGAGGGGCGACACGGUUCACACACAUGUAUUUUUUGAGAAACUUUUUUCAGACGCAAAAGAAGAAAUUUUCUAUUUUUUAUAAGAGAUUACUUGAAGUUUUCAAACCGACGUCAGGAGGGGACAUGCGCAGGCAGUCCCUCUUUUACAUGAGCAAUUCAGUGGCAUGAUGUACAUAAUGUUCUUUUUAAAAUGUUUGUAAAAAGAAUAUUUUUGCGUGUAAAGAAAAAAAGAAACAAACCAAAAGACUGAUGUAUUUGGAUCCAACACAAAAGAUACCGGAUUUCCUGAUUUAUUUGUUUUUAAUUUGUCAAAAGUCUUAACGUUUUCCUCUGCUAGAGCAAAAACUACAAAUAAAGCUGGUAUUUAUCUAGUUUA